CCUACGAGACAGCAGAUGAUGUAUGGCGGCGCGAGGAGGACAAAGCGAUGCCACGGAGUCCAUCGCAUCCCGUGGCCUUGGCACCAACAGUCGUCCGCUCACUGCUGAAGGCGAUAAGGCGCGAUCGGGCCUUAUCGCUCGCCGCCAAGAAGGAGGACAUCCGCUAUCACUGGACGCACUGGGCAGAGGAAAGACUCGGCCCCCUUAUCUGCCUUUGUAACUCCGCCCAAACUUGAAGUGCAGUUUGCAGAUGAUAAAUGAUUCCAAAGUAGAGUCAAUGUCACCAGGAGAUGCUUUUCAGGUUACACCAGUUCAAAAUCGGG